UGUCUGGUGGCUGAGCAUAAAAGCAGUAGACUGUAGAUCUAUUAACGAGAUUAAAUUUUCCCGACAA
rnacentral:tRNA from 1 species